rnacentral:rRNA from 1 species
GAUCCUGGCUCAGAUUGAACGCUGGCGGCAGGCCUAACACAUGCAAGUCGAGCGGUAACAGGAGAAAGCUUGCUUUCUUGCUGACGAGCGGCGGACGGGUGAGUAAUGUAUGGGGAUCUGCCCGAUAGAGGGGUGAUAACUACUGGAAACGGUGGCUAAUACCGCAUAAUGUCUACGGACCAAAGCAGGGGCUCUUCGGACCUUGCACUAUCGGAUGAACCCAUAUGGGAUUAGCUAGUAGGUGGGGUAAAGGCUCACCUAGGCGACGAUCUCUAGCUGGUCUGANAGGAUGAUCANGCCACACUGGGACUGAGACACGGCCCAGACUCCUACGGGAGGCAGCAGUGGGGAAUAUUGCACAAUGGGCGCAAGCCUGAUGCAGCCAUGCCGCGUGUAUGAAGAAGGCCUUAGGGUUGUAAAGUACUUUCAGCGGGGAGGAAGGUGAUAAGGUUAAUACCCUUAUCAAUUGAC